rnacentral:rRNA from 1 species
UACGUAGGGUGCAAGCGUUAAUCGGAAUUACUGGGCGUAAAGCGUGCGCAGGCGGUUAUGUAAGUCAGGUGUGAAAUCCCCGGGCUUAGCCUGGGAACUGCAUUUGUGACUGCAUAGCUAGAGUACGGCAGAGGGGGAUGGAAUUCCGCGUGUAGCAGUGAAAUGCGUAGAUAUCAGGAGGAACACCGAUGGCGAAGGCAGGUCUCUGGGCUGACACUGACGCUCAUGCACGAAAGCGUGGGGAGCAAACAGG